rnacentral:lncRNA from 1 species
GACUCUAGGGGUUCUGCUAAUUGAGUUAAGGAAGCAAACUGUAUCAUUAUCAAUUGCUUUCUAGAUGGUUCUGCAACACGUUUGGAACAAAAUAAAAAUAUCUUCAUUUUGAAAUUCCAUUGGACUCGACUGGAGUAAUGUAUUAUAGGAAUCAGCCUCUUUCAAUCAAAGAACUAUUUCAACGAUUCCCAUGUUUGUAGUUCGAAAGGAAAAGGAUCCCAGGAAAUUUAUUCGAACCUAAUUCUUACUAAAUUUUCUAUUCCAAUCAAUGGCCUCUUCCUAGGUGAUACUGAGGAGGGCCGGACCCGUUUUUUAUUUGGUUCUCUCUUUACUGUUCAAAGAAAAAGUGGUUUUGUUAAGUGUAUAAGCACUUUGUAUGAGAAAGAAAGGAUAUAAACAUAGUGGUUGUCUAACGAGAUACUAUGCAGAAUAAGAUCUUCAGGUGAGUCACAUAAUUUUCUAUUCCAAUCAAUGGCCUCUUCCUAGGUGAUACUGAGGAGGGCCGGACCCGUUUUUUAUUUGGUUCUCUCUUUACUGUUCAAAGAAAAAGUGGUUUUGUUAAGUGUAUAAGCACUUUGUAUGAGAAAGAAAGGAUAUAAACAUAGUGGUUGUCUAACGAGAUACUAUUUAGAAUAAGAUCGUCAGGUGAGUCACAUAUUGCGCAUUUACCUUUCGAAUUUUGGAAAUUGGAUUUAGACUUUAUCGACUUAUUUCAUAUCAUGGUUCAGGCCUUAAAAAUCAGUGAGGUUUACUCUUCCUUUUCGAUGCCCGUGGAACUACUGUCAAUGGUUUACUCAAUUACUUCUUGGGAAUGUUAAAAAAAAAGAUUACUACGACCUUUCGAAUUUUGGAAAUUGGAUUUAGACUUUAUCGACUUAUUUCAUAUCAUGGUUCAGGCCUUAAAAAUCAGUGAGGUUUACUCUUCCUUUUCGAUGCCCGUGGAACUACUGUCAAUGGUUUACUU